rnacentral:lncRNA from 1 species
UCAAUUUUGAUUGAAUCAUUUUAAGAUUGGGGUUUGAUGAAGCCUCUCAUAAUAAUGGCAAACAUAACAGCUUCCCAGUUCACUGGCGCUGCCUGCAGCCGGCCAUGAACUCAUGCAAAGCCAAGAACACGAUUUCUUGUUCUAAUCCCGCCACUUUUCCCAGCUCUGCUCGCGAAACUGUUGCGGUGAUUCUUCGACCAAGCUUUAGAUUUCCAUGUGACAUGGAGCAGAGGAGCAGCUCAUGCUUCUCCUGUAACCAUGGCAACUUGCACGCCUCCCAACCUUCGGGGACAUUUGUCGGCCAUGUUGGACAGCGAGAUGUCAGGAUGCGAUGGGCCCUUCUUGCCAACCAUACGAAUCCCCCGUCGAUUUAGGAUCUGAGAAGGGUAAGUGUUAAGUGCACAUAAAGGAAAGAACAGCCCGAAAAGACAGAUCCAAAUGCUGCAAUCAAUGGAGUUAAUCCCAUCCUUUGGGGGAAGUUAAUGAUGCUAUGGUACAUGUAAUCCUCUGAAGUGUUGGUGAAGAAGAUGCUUAUAAUUGAUUAGUGGCCACCAUCUGCUGUGGAGUAGGCUGCAAGAAUAUUAAGUUCCUUGUACCAACGCCUGAGUCUAGAGUACAAAUUUCUAUUGUUCUGGACUCGAUGUUGUAUAUGUGAUCUAAUGUCUGGCUUGAUCUCAAUUGAUUCAUCGUCUAGAGGGGAUUCUAACUUUCUUCCUAAGAGUAAUGCAAUGAUCUCCCACUUUGAAGCUUCGUCUGCCCCCUCGACCCGCAUGCUCUAAGGACGCAGCUGAUGCAGUGCAUGCAUGGAUCGAUCAAGCCCUGCACUCUGAGAAGGUGAUCGCUCCAGGUGCCUGCAGGCCAACAGUUCAUACGAGGCUGAACCUGAAUCAUUCAUCGCCUGCGCAUCCAGGUCCAAGGAAUGAAUCACCACCACCGGCGACAUGAGCAACGCCGGAGAUGCUCCUCCAUUAAGGCGAGUAGUUGACGCAUUCACUCCUUGUAAGUGAUGGUGUUAAAGCGUGCACCGACCGUAUCGGCCGGCCGUGCCCGGUGGUGUAAGGUGCGUUUGAUGUCGGUGUUUAUCUCAUUGGAAGCCGGUGCAGACCACGGGGCUUUGCUCAGAUCAAAUGGCCUUCCUCUUAGCCCAUACUCUCGACUCCCUGUUUUCUUCAUGAGAGUGCAAGUAGUACCAUCAUCAAGCGUAUGCAUUGGUUCUAUUCGUGGUUGGCUCAUUCAUUGGCAUUCAUCAGCUUAACCGGAUCGCACGUGGAAGUCAGCGACGACAUGGUCAGGUUAUGGGGGCUGAUGAAUCGGGUGGUAUGCGAGGGGCAUUAACGCUGAGACCAGACAAGUGGGGAAGGGGACGAACACAAGAAGCCAAGGGGAGAACAAAAGCCAAGGAGAAGCUCCCGGUAGUCGCUUUAUGACCUCCGGCUGGGAAAGCUGGUUCGGUGGUUUGCAAGGACAAAAGACCCCGGCUUUUGCGCACCAAGGACCGGCUUUUCCUGGCCAGUCUUCCCCCUUCCGUUGGCCUUUCUACACCACUCUCCUUCGGGAGUGCAGCAGGAAAAGGAAGGGUUGAAAGAGUUCCAAAUGACCGUGUUCUAAGUCUCCGGCAAC